rnacentral:rRNA from 1 species
UACAGGGGGUGCAAACGUUUGCUCGGAAUUAUUGGGCGUAAAGCGCGCGUAGGCGGCUACUUAAGUCGGAUGUGAAAGCCCUUGGCUCAACUGAGGAAGUGCACCCGAAACUGAGUGGCUUGAGUACUAAAGAGGGUCGCGGAAUUCCCGGUGUAGAGGUGAAAUUCGUAGAUAUCGGGAGGAACACCGGUGGCGAAGGCGGCGACCUGGGUAGAUACUGACGCUGAGGCGCGAAAGCGUGGGGAGCAAACAGG